UCCCCACCCACUUUGUUUCAAAAGUGGUUUAUCUGAAAAUCAGAAAAAUCAGAAAGCCAAAACUAAGGUCUCUCUCUAUAUGUUUGUCUACGGGUAUGUCAACUGCGUCUUUUUGUUUCUGUGACCAUAACUAAUUAUUACUAUAUGGACGGUUUAAAUGAGACAAGGAUAUUAUGUUUUCGUUGCAGUUUGUUUGUCUGUCUGUUUGCAGGAUUAUAUGCAAAAACUACUGGCCCGAUUUUCAUGAAACUUCGUGGAAAGGUGUCAAUAGGCUAGGCCUACUUGUAACAGACUGAGAGAUGAAAAAAUAUACUUACCAAGGACAAAAGGCAGAUUUACCAAGUCUCAAAAGACGAAAAGUAGACUGCCUUCCUGUAGCUACUUAAAAAAAAAGUAGCUCACUAACGGAAUAGGGUCUACCCAUCCAACAAGAAGACUAGAGCCGAGUACGGAAUCUGUGCUGGGAAUUCGGUUUCGGUUUUGCUUUUUUCGCUUUUGGCACGUAGCGUUGGAAGCUUCAACGGAGACUCUCCCUAUUUACUUUACUUUGCCGAACUGAAUUGUAGAGUCGGCAACGGCAGACAUCCCAAGUCUCCCGGAAGUCUCCCGCAUAUUGAUAGCAACUCCCUGAUGCCCGCAAAUUACUUAAAAUCUCCCGGAAUCUAUAGCGAGCGAGCAAGACCGCGCACUUGAGACAGACGUGCUACAAACCGCGUAAGCAUCUGUGUAGCGCGCGCACGACAGAGAGGGAGAGGGACCUAGAGACUGUGCGUGUGUGUGGCAGUGUGAGUGUGUGCCUCAUGAAGCAUCCUGAUUGGCCUGUUUCGCAGCUGAUUAUGGCAGCUUUCACCAGCUUGGGUCAGACAGUCGCUCCCAGUCUGUUUACUAGAUGUUAUCACCAUCUGUCUGCACGCUCACUCACGACCAAACAGAGCCGUGCGCUUGACACCACAGUCUCAAACAGGCGGGAUUCCUGUGCUACAAUAUUGAUGAUAAAAUGUGUGUUUCUCUCGGAAACAUUUGAAUCUUUAAAGUGAGGAUUGAGUUUAAAAAAAAAGUGAGAAUGAGAGUUCAAUGUAUUCCAUCACAUUGUAAUUUAUUAAUGGGUACAUUUGGGUUUUACAGAUAUUACUUAUGUUUUUAGUCUUUUUCAUGUUUGGCCUAUAUUUGCCAUCCUAGGGUACAAAAGGGCAAUACCCUUAAACAGAACAUAUUUGUUCCAUUUCCAAGGCUAUGUUUAAAUUCCAAUGCAUUUAUGUCCAAAUGUGUCCCUUAGGGUACAAUGCAGUAUCCUUGAAGGUAACACCCCAGUGACAAGACAGUGUAGCCCUAAAGGACCUGUUGUUGGGGAUGCGGAAAUUCGCAGAGAUGGCCUUCAGGCAUUCAUUACUGGAGUCGUUGCUCUCCAAAAAGACGGUGACGUAAAGUGGCCCUUCUUCUAGAAUUUUGCCGUACUCGUCUGCAGGAAUGAGUAUGAAGCGGACACGGGAGUCGGCUUUGAAAAACAUCUUCAUUGAUUGGCUCGCUCUUGUAGUCACAGAGCUAUCCCCACUGACUUUAACUUCCAUCACCAGCUCCUCCAGCCGCAUUUGAUCCGUGUUGUAGUAAACCCGGAUGGGCAUCCCCGAGGCGUUGGCCACAUGGGUGAUUGUGCUCCCCAUUAUUGAUUUCGGAGACAAUGAUCUGUGGAGUAAGUGUGAAAGAGGCAGUGAUGCCUAAUGAAUUGCAAUUAUCAAGCACCUUUUGAGGAUCUAUGGCACUUUACAGCGAGGUGGGUGGUGAUGCAGGUUUAUCUUGACCACAUGACGCAUCUAUUAAUGUUGCUCAAUGUAAUAUAAGACCUUGUAGGCAUGUGGGCAGGUAUUUGGACUUUGGACAAAACUGCUCUGGUUAUUUUUCUCUUUCCAUGGGAUUGUGAACAACAGCAGUUUGUUUCUGCGGCAAUAACUAACCUAAGGAAGGUUAGAUGAGCCGAGUUAUCAGAUUCAUGUUAAGAAAAACAGGCAUAUUGACAAUCCAACUUAAAAGUUUGUGGAAUUAGUUCACUGA
ensembl:lncRNA